AAAUAGCAGGUACACAUGUCUGCAGGGAAAAAUGUAUUUAGGAAAAAACAAAAUAAUAGAUAGGAUGGAAAUUCUAACUGCAAAGAAUUUAUUUUGUUAUCAGACGAACAUGUUUUUCUUCUUGCUGGAAAUUGGGUUGGGGGGAGGAGAAGAGGGCAACCAUACACAAAAUACUUGGAAUGAUUUAAAAGGGACAUGCAAUAUUACCUACACAAGUGAAUAAUAAUGGGUAACACAAUUUAAAUUUUACUGCAAUUACAAGGUAAUGUAAUCAAUUAUAUAAUAAAGUAAAUGAUGCAACAGCCAUUCCAUUCUCAAGUUUGGUUAAAAAAUAAGAAAUAUAUGAAAUAUAAUAUAAUGAUAAUUUUUAUUUCAAUGUCUAAUUUCCUUGUGGUGGUAUUAACAAGGAAGUGAUGGCAGCGAUAGUGAUUGGUGAUGACAGUGAUUUAUGGCCGGACGGUAGUGGUGGAUUGUGUAUGGUUGCCGAGUGGUGAUGAUUGUGGGAAAAAAUGUGGCAAUAAAAAAAUAAAUCAAAAUAAAUAAUUAUGAUUACAAUUUUAAUUAUUUUUAUUGGAAAUGAUCAUUACAAUAAUAAAAGUGUAAUUGAUUAUAUGAUGUAAUUGUUAUUUCAUAUUGUGUAAUGGAACAAAGUAAUGGAAUAAGCAAUAUAAUUGCUAUUCCAUUACAAUUUUGAUUAAGUCCUAUCAAAAUGCAUGUUUUAGAGAGAGAGAGAGAGAGAG
rnacentral:misc_RNA from 1 species